rnacentral:rRNA from 1 species
GACGAACGCUGGCGGCGUGCCUAAUACAUGCAAGUUGAGCGCUGAAGGUUGGUACUUGUACCAACUGGAUGAGCAGCGAACGGGUGAGUAACGCGUGGGGAAUCUGCCUUUGAGCGGGGGACAACAUUUGGAAACGAAUGCUAAUACCACAUAAAAACUUUAAACACAAGUUUUAAGUUUGAAAGAUGCAAUUGCAUCACUCAAAGAUGAUCCCGCGUUGUAUUAGCUAGUUGGUGAGGUAAAGGCUCACCAAGGCGAUGAUACAUAGCCGACCUGAGAGGGUGAUCGGCCACAUUGGGACUGAGACACGGCCCAAACUCCUACGGGAGGCAGCAGUAGGGAAUCUUCGGCAAUAGACGAAAGUCUGACCGAGCAACGCCGCGUGAGUGAAGAAGGUUUUCGGAUCGUAAAACUCUGUUGGUAGAGAAGAACGUUGGUGAGAGUGGAAAGCUCAUCAAGUGACGGUAACUACCCAGAAAGGGACGGCUAACUACGUG